UACGUAGGGUGCAAGCGUUGUCCGGAAUUAUUGGGCGUAAAGAGCUCGUAGGCGGUCUGUCGCGUCGGCUGUGAAAACCCGGAGCUCAACUCCGGGCCUGCAGUCGAUACGGGCAGACUGGAGUUCGGCAGGGGAGACUGGAAUUCCUGGUGUAGCGGUGAAAUGCGUAGAUAUCAAGUGGAACACCAGUGGCGAAGGCGAGUCUCUGGACAUUUCCUGACGCUGAGGCACGAAAGCCAGGGGAGCAAACGGG
rnacentral:rRNA from 1 species